rnacentral:rRNA from 1 species
GAUGAACGCUGGCGGCGUGCUUAACACAUGCAAGUCGAACGGAAAGGCCCUGCUUUUGCGGGGUGCUCGAGUGGCGAACGGGUGAGUAACACGUGUGUAUCCUGUCCUUGACUUUGGGAUAACUUCUGGAAACUGGGGCUAAUACCGGAUAGGAGCUCCUGCUGCAUGGUGGGGGUUGGAAAGUUUCGGCGGUUGGGGAUGGACUCGCAGCUUAUCAGCUUGUUGGUGGGGUAGUGGCUUACCAAGGCUUUGACGGGUAGCCGGCCUGAGAGGGUGAACGGCCACAAUGGGACUAAGAUAGGGACCAGUAGGCAAUGUGACGCAACGGUGGAGAGUAUGACGCAGUGGGCGGAAGCCUGAUGCAGCAAUGCUGCGAGCGUGAUGACGGCCUUCUGGUGGAAAACCGAUUUGUACGGUGAUAAAGCGGGAGUGACGGUAAUUAGUAAAAAAGCACCGGCUAACUACGUG